rfam:Mesocricetus auratus contig104328, whole genome shotgun sequence.
UAUGAAUGGGAGUGAAGUAUUAUGCUAAACCAGGAAGGAUAGGGAAUAUUAGCAUGGCCCCUGUAGAAUGAUGACACACAAAUUGGUGAAGGAUUCAUAUUUUUA